CACAAGAGCCUAAAAGCCUUAGCUUUCUCCCCUACAACAACGUAACACCCCCACCGUACCCUUUCUCCCCUUCCUAACGGCGACAGCAGGUCAGCAGCUUUUAAUUGCCGGUGCACUCCUCCACGUACGUCGACGGUGUCAUGCUAUCCUCGACGGGCGACGGUGUGGUACCAAAUCACAGACCUUUUCUCCCCUUCAUAAUGGCGACAGCAGCGCUUAAUUGCGGUGUACUCCUCCACGUACGGCGACGGCGCGGUGCUCUCCUCGACGAGUGCGGUGCUCUCCUCGACGGGCGCGGUGCUCAAUCGCGAGAAACUCCUGUCCCUUCUCUUCACCUUCUCGUUCUUCCUCUGUUCCUCCGUUUCCAGGAUUAAAUUAUCGUAUCGAGAAGCUGAUGAACACAUUUGGGGUUUCAAUCUCAUUGUUGGUGGCAGCCCUUGCAUUGCAACAACCUUGCUGGGAGCAAUAGGGUAAGUAGGGGGAUGAAUUAGAGGUAAAGAAUCUUCCCUCUUUUUUUAUUACUGCCGUAUUCUUGACUUGGUUAAGAAUAUAAUGACCACCAACCAAUGAACUAAGUUUAAAGAAAGAAAGAAAAAAAAGGAAAAAAGAAAAAAACUGUUAAUAUUCUUUGUAAAAUCCAAACAUUUUGGAUGUUAUCUAACUUGAAAACAGUUUUUACACCCCAUUUUUGUUGCCAAAGUAAAGGCAACGGGUUUAAAUAAGUUUUAAUUUUUCACAUUUGUGAUUUCACUUUUACUAUUUUAAGAAAAAGACAUUAAAGACUGUUCAAUUUUUUUUUUACCUGUUAAGAUUGAUCUUGUUUAAUGAUGGUCUUGAAUCGUGCCAUGUUUGGAAGUUUUAAUGAUAUAUAUGGGAAGACCAAGAUCAAGUUUCUAAUAUCAUAAGUUUCUAGGGACAUAGUCAAUCAAAACAAUGAAAAACUAAAGUGAUUGAUCUAUUGUAAAAUCUAUUCUCUAUUAUUUUCUGUCAUUCUUAUCAAUUCAGUUCAUUUGUGAAUGAUAUCAAUUUAAGAAGAAAAAAAGCUAAGAAACUCAUAACUCAUGUUUGAUGCAAAUUAGUACCACACUAAAAUUAGUUCAUUUAAUAAUUUUCGUCUCAAUUGGAUACACUCUUGAUUAUAUGUUCUGCAUUCAUAUAGUUUUGGGAGUUGAUUGACAGUAUAGUUUGAUUAUUUGAAUUUUCUGCUUACUUUUUUAUGUGUGAAGACAAUGAAAUUUGAGGUUCAUUAGGGUUAUGUAAUUGUAUGCUUGAAUCAUUGAAAGGAAUAUAAUUUAGAUGUCAUAGUAUAAUUUUCUUAUUGUUAUGUAGCAAAAAACUGUAUUCAAUAUUUUUAUUUAUUUUUAGUUUAAGGGAUUACUUUACCUUUGUGGAUGUUAAAAAAUAAGUUUCUAAAACUGUAUUUAUUUGAAUUA